rnacentral:rRNA from 1 species
GAUGAACGCUGGCGGCGUGCCUAAUACAUGCAAGUCGAGCGAACAGACGAGGAGCUUGCUCCUCUCACGUUAGCGGCGGACGGGUGAGUAACACGUGGAUCACCUCCCUAUCAGACUGGGAUAACUUCGGGAAACCGGAGCUAAUACCGGAUAAUAUCUUGAACCGCAUGGUUCAAUAGUGAAAGACGGUUUUGGUGGCACUAAUAGAUGGUUCCGCGCCGCAUUGGCUGGUUGGUAAGGUAACAGCUUACCAAGGCAACGAUGCGUAGCCGACCGGAGAGGGGGAUCGGCGACCUUGGAGGUGAGACAGGGUCAAGACUCCUACGGGAGGGAGCAGUAGGGAACGUUCCGCAAUGGGCGAAAGCCUGACGGAGCAACGGCGCGUGAGUGAUGAAGGUCCUCGGAGCGUAAAACUCUGUUAUUAGGGAAGAACAAAUGUGUAAGUAACUAUGCACUUCGUGACGGUAACUAAUCAGAAAGCCACGGCUAACUACGUG